rnacentral:rRNA from 1 species
AUGUGCCGCCUCGUCAUGGCGAACUACGCCCCACCUGACCUCCUCACCGCGGCGCCCCUCCUCCUCGACCCCUCAAACGUCGUGCGCCGCCGCACCUACGCCGACACGGGGGGUCGGGUCACACCCUACCUCGUCUACCUCGACCACGCGCACGCUCCUCGACAACCGCCUCGGCAAGCGCCGCUUCGACGGCGGCUACGUCCACAACGGCCUCCUCCGCGCGCGCCGGCUGGGUGCUCGACAGGGAGUGCGACCUGCUCCGGGACCUCCUCGACCGGUACCCCGCCUACACGCUCACCUUCACGGGCCACUCCCUUGGCGUCGGCAUCGCCCCCAUGCUCACCAUGGUCGUCGUGCUCAACCUCGACAAGCUCGGCAAGGCCGAGAGGGGCCGCACCAGGUGCUAUGCCAAGGCCCCCGCCCGCUGUAUGUCGCUCAACCUCGCCGUCAGAUACGCCGAUGUCAUCAACUCCGUCGUGCUGCAGGUGA